rnacentral:misc_RNA from 2 species
GCUUUGAUUUGGUGAAAUUCCAAAACCGACAGUAGAGUCUGGAUGAGAGAAGAUUC